rnacentral:rRNA from 1 species
UACGUAGGUGGCAAGCGUUGUCCGGAAUUAUUGGGCGUAAAGCGCGCGCAGGUGGUUUCUUAAGUCUGAUGUGAAAGCCCACGGCUCAACCGUGGAGGGUCAUUGGAAACUGGGGAACUUGAGUGCAGGAGAGAAGAGUGGAAUUCCACGUGUAGCGGUGAAAUGCGUAGAGAUGUGGAGGAACACCAGUGGCGAAGGCGACUCUUUGGCCUGUAACUGACACUGAUGCGCGACAGCAUGGGGAGCAAACAGG